AUUGAACGCUGGCGGCAGGCCUAACACAUGCAAGUCGAGCGAGAGGCGGACGGGUGGGUAAUGUCUGGGAAACUGCCUGAUGGAGGGGGAUAACUAAUUGAAACGGUAGCUCAUACCGCAUACCAUCAGAUGUGCCAAGAUGGGAGGAGCGAGUAGGUGGGGUAAGGGCUCACCUAGGCGACGAUCCCUAGAUGGUCUGAGAGGAUGACCAGCCACACUGGAACUGAGACACGGUCCAGACUCCGACGGGAGGAAGCAGUGGGGAAUAUUGCACAAUGGGGGCAAGCCUGAUGCAGCCAUGCCGCGUUUAUGAAGAAGGCCUUCGGGUUGUAAAGUACUUUCAGCGGGGAGGCGUUACCCGCAGAAGAAGCCCCGGCUAACUCCGUGCCAGCAGCCGCGGUAAUAC
rnacentral:rRNA from 1 species